UCCCAGCCGCACCGCACAGGCUGCAGGUUCCCAGCCGCAGUGUAGUCUCAGAGGCGCCGACGCACUCGGGAUGUUCUCAGUCCACACCGUCACAUGGUGAAACGGCAGGAAUAUGCUGAGGCUGCUAUUUAAAAGCCUCUUUCCUCCCUCCUCCCUUCAUUUAUUGAUUUAUUGUCAGGAGCUCUAAUAGUUAAUCCCAGUGAAUGCUUAUUCAUGGUACUUAUAAUUUGAUCAGUGUGUCAGAUUUAGAUAGGAGACCCUAGCCUUUGGAGACUGGGGAAGUUGGGGCAGAAAACUGAAGCCUCUGAUGGGAGGCCUCAGCUGGGGCCACUGCCCCGUGGCUGGGCAGUGUCCUGCUGCCAUCCAUGCGUCUUCAUAACGUGUCCUGAAAUCAGCAGUCAAGACUGUGCGCUCUGUGGGGUGACUGCAGUUUCUGGUCGUGAUCAUCGUUCUGAUAAGCAGACAAUCCGCAGGCCCCCCUUUUCCAUUUCGCAUAUUGUAUGAGUUACUGUCACAGGGUUUUGUUAAAUAUUCAGCUAAAAACUGUAAUUUUAGAAGGAAGACGGCCUCCUCCAGGAGCAUCUUACCCGACCUCUCGUCACCACACCAAAUGGCGAUCCAAGCAAAAAGAGUGGAAGACAGCCGCGCGGCCGCACUCCUGGAGCUCCGGGAGAAGCAGGGCCUGAUGGAGCAGCGGAGACGCUCUGCUGACCACCUGGCUCCACCCCUCUCUGGGCCCCAGGAGGCCAGCCGCCAUGGACCACAGCCACAGCACCCCCAUGCCCCGCACCUGGUCGUUGGCUUUGGCCAAUGGGGGCCCCCAGCAGGAGGUCGAGGAGGAGAGGGAGAGCAAGGGCCUCGUCCUUACUCACCUGGCUCCUCUGUGAACUGCCUGGAGCUGGCUGAGUCCAGCCUCUCCCUCCUUCUGGGUUCUAGCAGAUUCUCCUUCCCUGGUCUGCUCUGUGGGCCUGUGGGCGGCUGCAGCCCAACCCUGACUGGCACAGAGUUCCCGCACUGCCCCUGUGGCUCCCCGCUCCCUCCCGCCAGGAAUAAACCCUCCUGAAGCCACCCCAUUGUGUGUGUGCUAUUUUCUCUCAGGCCCAUGUGGCAGGGACCGUGUUCAACACACAGAUUCUGUGGCCGUCCGUGGCUGUCACAGACAGACACUGUAGUUGUCUUUUUCUUCAGUUAAAGGGUGUGUGAGGUGAAGCCUUCCAAGCUGGUCCCCUGCCGCAGGCUGCCAUGCUGACAGGCAGGGAUGAGGCCAGUGAGCUCUCAGGCUGUCCUAGGAUGUGGGCUGCAACAGGAAGCCCAGCGCUGUGGGACCCAGUCUCGCUGACCACUGGCCACAGCUGCUGGGGCCCAGGGAGCACUGGCAAGACUUUCAUGGGUGCCCAUCAGCCCUCCCACAAUGUCCCUCUGGGUGGCUCCACAGAGCUGGGUGGGUCAGUCUCUGGGAGGUAAGCCCCUCAAGAGCAGCCCCACCAGCUGCCCUCUUCUCACUGUGCGCCCCGGCAGACAUCUCCUCUCACUGCACACCCCACCAGCAGACACCUCCCCUCACUGUGCAUCC
rnacentral:lncRNA from 13 species